GGGCUCAUGUAAGGGCCAGCUGCUGAGGGGAAAGCAUCUCUCGGGCCCUGGCUACUUCCUGAGAAGGGUGCUGUAUAGCCAGAGAUUCCCCUCUGCCAGUGUGGUUUCUCCUCUGAGAAACACAACUGGAAGUAGAAGCAUGUAAAAAGCCAGGUAUUCCUAGCUACUCCUGAUGUCAGUGCUUGCACAUUGGAGCUUGCUCAUGUUGCCCAGUGGUUUGUUGCACAACAAUUAAAAGCCAUACUUCAAUGGCCCUAAAUGAAGAGACCACCAAUGCUGUCCCUUCCAAAGUCUCUUUGGAGAGAUCACUUUGGAGACAUCACUUCCAAAGCCUCAAAUAAAGAAACGGGCUACAAAUAAAUCCUACCUCAAUACUGCUUUAUUUCAAAGGAAUUCACCACACUGUUAGAAGAGCUGCAUCAUGCAUAUGUAAAUCCUGCACUACUUGAACAACUUAAUCUUAAUAAAUAUUUGUGAUCUAUUACAAGAAGCAUUACUUAUAGGCUAUUUUUAAACAGUAUAAAAACCUCCUCCACUAGAUGGCUCUGACACUAUGCACAUUAAAGCUGAACACUUACAUACUCAUGUAUGUACACCUGUAAGUAGCUAUUAAGAAAGGCAGCUGGUAUUGACAUAUUCAUAUACUCCGGAAUCAGACAAAAAUAAAAGAUGAUUUUGAAAUAAAUGUCAAUACAUAUGCACACAUGUAUACAUUCAACAAAAUCAACAAAAUAUUCUUAUUUUUUUAGUCCAAAAUUACAAUAAAAAAGCAAAACAUAUGCCCUUGCAUCCCAGAUGCAAAUGCACAGUAAACAUUCUAAAAUAAAUUGGAGCUGCACCUGUGCUCCCCAUGCCACCAGAAGGGGUGGACCCAAGGUGGAGCCACCCUGGGCUCAUAAGAGUCAGACACUGAAGAGAGAGCGUCUUUUGGUUCUCGGCUGCUUCCUGAGAAGGGGUGCUGUGUAGCAAAAGCUUCCCUUCACCAGUUGGGUGAGUUCAACUCUUUUUUGUAUGUGAUUAUCGGUGUACCUGUGGGUUCUCUGCCUUGUAUCACUAAGAAGCUGGCAGAAGCAAUUUUGCUUCUUUGUGGACAGAACAAGUAGCAACCUCAAAGCUCUUCUUGUAGCCAUGUUUCUAUUAUUGAUAACUUAAAUUGCUAGGUUUUGGGUCUAUUUGUUUUUGUUUUGCGUGUUUGGAUCAGUCUGCAAAACUAGUAAAGAAAAAAACACAAGAUUCACACUCUGAGUUGCAGCUAUUUUAUGAACUGGUAUCUUAACCUUUUUUCAUUUGUGUUCUUACUUCAUUUGUACUCUAUCUUCUACCCACACAGGUCUUCACUACUGCAAACUCUGUAGGCAACUGAUUCAAUCUUACUUCAUCUAAAAAACCUACAAAUUGUGCAAAAUGAAUCAUCUACAUAUGUAGAUUUUUU